ACGCUGGCGGCAGGCCUAACACAUGCAAGUCGAGCGGCAGCACAAGGGAGUUUACUCCUGAGGUGGCGAGCGGCGGACGGGUGAGUAAUGCCUAGGGAUCUGCCCAGUCGAGGGGGAUAACAGUUGGAAACGACUGCUAAUACCGCAUACGCCCUACGGGGGAAAGAGGGGGACCUUCGGGCCUCUCGCGAUUGGAUGAACCUAGGUGGGAUUAGCUAGUUGGUGAGGUAAUGGCUCACCAAGGCGACGAUCCCUAGCUGUUCUGAGAGGAUGAUCAGCCACACUGGGACUGAGACACGGCCCAGACUCCUACGGGAGGCAGCAGUGGGGAAUAUUGCACAAUGGGGGAAACCCUGAUGCAGCCAUGCCGCGUGUGUGAAGAAGGCCUUCGGGUUGUAAAGCACUUUCAGUAGGGAGGAAAGGGUGAGUCUUAAUACGGCUCAUCUGUGACGUUACCUACAGAAGAAGGACCGGCUAACUCCGUGCCAGCAGCCGCGGUAAUACGGAGGGUCCGAGCGUUAAUCGGAAUUACUGGGCGUAAAGCGUGCGCAGGCGGUUUGUUAAGCGAGAUGUGAAAGCCCUGGGCUCAACCUAGGAAUAGCAUUUCGAACUGGCGAACUAGAGUCUUGUAGAGGGGGGUAGAAUUCCAGGUGUAGCGGUGAAAUGCGUACAGAUCUGGAGGAAUACCGGUGGC
rnacentral:rRNA from 1 species